GAUGAACGCUGGCGGCGUGCCUAAUACAUGCAAGUCGAGCGAAAAUACUAUAAGCUUGCUCCUUUGACGUUAGCGACAAACGUGUGAGUAACACGUGGAUAACUUACCUAUAAGACUUGUAUCACUUCGGGAAUCCUGAGACUAUACCGGAUAAUAUAGUACACCGCAUGGUUCAUUACCGAAUGACGAUUUUGCUGUCACUUCUAGAUCGAUCCCUGCCGCAUUAGCUAGUUGUUAAGGUAACGGCUUAUCAAGGCAACGAUGCGUAGCCGAAGUGAGAGGGUGAUCGGCCACAUUGGAACUGAGACACGGUCCAGACUACUACGGGAGGCAGCAGUAGGGAAUCUUCCGCAAUGGGCGAAAGCAUGACGGAGCAACGCCGCGUGAGUGAUGAAGGUCUUCGGAUCGUAAAACUCUGUUAUUAGGGAAGAACAAAUGUGUAAGUAACUAUGCACGUCUUGACGGUAACUAAUAAGAAAGCCACGGCUAACUACGUG
rnacentral:rRNA from 1 species